rnacentral:rRNA from 1 species
UACAGAGGGGGCAAGCGUUGUUCGGAAUUACUGGGCGUAAAGGGCGCGUAGGCGGCCUGCUAAGUCGAACGUGAAAUCCCUGGGCUCAACCCAGGAACUGCGUCCGAUACUGGUUGGCUUGAAUCCGGGAGAGGGAUGUGGAAUUCCAGGUGUAGCGGUGAAAUGCGUAGAUAUCAGGAGGAACACCCGUGGUGUAGACGGCUUGCUGGACAGUCACUGACGCUGAGGCACGAAAGCGUGGGGAGCAAACAGG